AACGUAGGACGCAAGCGUUAUCCGGAAUUACUGGGCGUAAAGCGCGUGUAGGCGGGGCUGUAAGUCUGUCGUGAAAGCUCCCGGCUAAACUGGGAGAGGUCGAUGGAAACUACAGGGCUGGAGUUUGGGAGAGGAAUGUGGAAUUCCGCGUGUAGUGGUGAAAUGCGUAGAGAUGCGGAGGAAAACCAGUGGCGAAGGCGGCAUUCUGGGCCACAACUGACGCUGAGACGCGAAAGCAUGGGUAGCGAACGGG
rnacentral:rRNA from 1 species